rnacentral:misc_RNA from 1 species
CGCAAAUCAAUUGGAAAUUUCUCAACUUCCUAUUAAAUCAUACAAGUAAAACGCCUGCAACUUCUGCAAUUUUUAAGCACAUGUAUAAAAUUAAAAAUGGAAGAAGCAGAUAAAGAUCCAAUCUAAGACCACAAAUUAAUGUAGAUAAUCUUUUAAUGCUCUGAUAAAGGAGGUCAUUUUUAAACUCAAAACUAGAGAUUGCCCUUGCCAAUAGCUAAUUCAGAAAGAAACAAAGAUAAAGUCGAACACAAAACUUUGGUACUGGAGAAACCCAUGCAUUACAAGUCAUACACUGUAGCAUUUCCUAGCAUGAACUCUUAAGCCUGUCGGUUCCUCUUCUUGGCACCUGACUUGGUGACCUUGAGACUCCUGUGAACAGCACUCAACCUUGCAAGGGCUGCCUUCUUCAGAUCUGGCCUGUAGUAGUUGUCUCCAACCUGGUUUGUUACAGCCUUGGCCAUUCUGCUGAAUUCCUUCUUCAUCACAGACUUGUUCAACAACCUUGAAGGCUUGUUUUGCUUCUUGGUUUUCGAUGUAGCAAGCAACACAGAUUUAUCUUUGCCAUCAGGCUGGAUAGUCACAGUUUUCUUGUUUGCUAGGCCAGAGUGCUUGUAGGAGUGAAGGUUGUAGAGAUUGUUAGGCUCUUUGCUGAAGACGACGCCAGCGGUACCAUUACCGAACUCCUUCACUAAAAAGGAGUUGUUCUUCUUCACGAUCUCCCAUACUAGUUGCCCUGGAACUGUUGUCAUUGCAAAUGAUUCCUAGGGUUUGCUCCGACGGCGGGAAGAGGAGGAUGCUGAGAG